rnacentral:misc_RNA from 1 species
GAUGAAGAACGUAGCGAAAUGCGAUAAGUAAUGUGAAUUGCAGAAUUCAGUGAAUCAUCGAAUCUUUGAACGCACAUUGCGCCCUUUGGCAUUCCGAAGGGCACACCUGUCCGAGUGCCGUCGCACAACUGAGGCGCAGCCUUGCGUUGGCGGGCGACUUGUGAGUAGCGAGUCGCCGCCCAAACGAGACGGCGCCGCGCCGCGGCCGACGAAGCACGAAAGCGGAAGUCGACGCGGAGGCGGUUGCCUGUAGGAAGACACAGCUUGGCCUCGGAUCAGGUGGGGAUACCCGCUGAACUUAAGCAUAUCAAUAAGCGGAGGA